rnacentral:lncRNA from 1 species
CUGCCGCUACUGGGAAAGAUCUCAGUAUAUCCAUCCUCCAAGGCCAAGGGGCAGUAAUAGAAAUAAGCUCAGCAGCAGGUUGAUGUUGGAUAUUAGCAUAUCUUUGGCAGUGGUCACACUUGUUGACAAGAUCAGCUGUAUCUUUUUGAAUAGUGGGUCAGUAGUAAUCUUGUCGGAUUACUUUAUAAGCAAACGACCUGCCCCCAUAUGAUGUCCACAUAUGGUGUCAAGCAACGAAGUAAAGGAAGAGAAUAAGAUUUUUUAUAUAAAUGGCCUUCUUGGAGAACAUACCACAGAGCUUGUCUUUUAAUGCUUUUGGUCUUAUUCGGAUCAUUGGUUAGAACUUCUUUAGAUAUAUAAUCCACGAGGAG